CUAACUGGUUUUAUUCUUUGAAGACAAAAUGCCUGAGGCAGGUUUUAUUUUCUGGAAAUUAAUUAUGUCCACCAAACAUCACGAUGCUGAAGAAGGUUUCUGGUGGACUGGAUCACAAAGGCCUGUUAUUCUGUCAUCAGAACCAAUUUCCAUCAUUUCAGAAUCUGUGAGGCUUACAUGAGGACAGAACAGAACUUUGAUACCUGUAUUCUGGUUUCAACAAGGGAAUAGAAUCUAAAAUAGCUGUUCAGUACUUUGUCACCUGAACCAGCUGUGCUCAGUUUAGGAACCGCAGGUCCAGUUGAAAACCCAGAUUUAAGCAGUUUCCAUCAAUGCCGUCUAAUGUGGAACGAAUCCUGGUAGAACUGGUCUCAGAACCAGUGACGUGAUGCAUCCCACGCUCAGAAAUCUGAAUAAUCAUUGUCAUGUUCAAGAAACCAGUCUGAGAUGAUUGGUGUUUUAUGACAUGGCGCGUUAUCCUGCUGGAAGUAACCAUCAGAAGAUGGGUCCACUGUGGUCAUAAAGGGAUGAACCUGGUCAGCAACAAUACUCAGAACCAGGAGGAUUCCUGUUGGAUUCAGAACCUGUGUUUCAGACCCAGACCUGAGAGGAAGUGAAGUAGCUGUUGCACCAUCAUCCUGGUUCCUGGAUACAGCUAGCGGCCGAUCCGGUCCAGGGUUCUGUCAGGAAUGUGGGCAUGGAUUCAAAGCCAACGUGCUUCAUGUACGAGCAGCUGCUGUGGGUCCGUUCAAAUGAACCGAACUCAGAGGAUCAAUGAGGUUCUGAUCACAUUAAACUGAUUGUUAAUCUAG